rnacentral:rRNA from 1 species
CUACGGGAGGCAGCAGUGGGGAAUUUUGGACAAUGGGCGCAAGCCUGAUCCAGCCAUGCCGCGUGAGUGAAGAAGGCCUUCGGGUUGUAAAGCUCUUUCGGCGGGGACGAAACGGUCCGUGCUAAUACCACGGACUAAUGACGGUACCCGCAGAAGAAGCACCGGCUAACUACGUGCCAGCAGCCGCGGUAAUACGUAGGGUGCAGGCGUUAAUCGGAAUUACUGGGCGUAAAGCGUGCGUAGGCGGUUUGUUAAGACAGGUGUGAAAUCCCCGGGCUUAACCUGGGAACUGCGCUUGUUACUGGCAGACUUGAGUGUGGCAGAGGGGGGUGGAAUUCCAGGUGUAGCAGUGAAAUGCGUAGAUAUCUGGAGGAACACCGAUGGCGAAGGCAGCCCCCUGGGCUAACACUGACGCUGAUGCACGAAAGCGUGGGGAGCAAACAGGAUUAGAUACCCUGGUAGUCCACGCCCUAAACUAUGUCAACUGGUUCUCGAGGAAGAAAUUGCCUUUUAAGGAACCUCACAAAUCUCAAAGAAACCCUGUACUACCCUUUUCGA